CCGCGAAAGCGGGGCUAAUACCGCAUACGGUCUACGGACCAAAGCCUUCGGGCGCUUUCGGAGGGGCCUGCGGCGGAUUAGCUAGUUGGUGGGGUAACGGCCUACCAAGGCGACGAUCCGUAGCUGGUCUGAGAGGAUGAUCAGCCACACUGGGACUGAGACACGGCCCAGACUCCUACGGGAGGCAGCAGCGAGGAAUUUUCCGCAAUGGGCGAAAGCCUGACGGAGCAACGCCGCGUGGGGGAAGAAGGCCUUCGGGUUGUAAACCCCUGUUGCGAGGGAAGAAGAUCUGACAGUACCUCGCGAGGAAGCCACGGCUAACUACGUGCCAGCAGCCGCGGUAAUACGUAGGUGGCAAGCGUUGUCCGGAUUUACUGGGCGUAAAGCGCGCGCAGGCGGGCUGGUCAGUCUGGGGUGAAAUCUCACGGCUCAACCGUGAGAGGUCCCUGGAUACUGCCAGCCUUGAGGGGCUCAGAGGAGAGUGGAAUUCCGGGUGUAGUGGUGGAAUGCGUAGAUAUCCGGAGGAACACCAGUGGCGAAAGCGGCUCUCUGGGGGCAACCUGACGCUGAGGCGCGAAAGCGUGGGGAGCGAACCGGAUUAGAUACCCGGGUAGUCCACGCCGUAAACGAUGAGUACUAGUUGUCGGGGGUAUCGACCCCCUCGGUAACGAAGCUAACGCGAUAAGUACUCCGCCUGGGGACUACGACCGCAAGGUUAAAACUUAAAGGAAUUGACGG
rnacentral:rRNA from 1 species